rnacentral:rRNA from 1 species
GACGAACGCUGGCGGCGUGCCCAACACAUGCAAGUCAACUUGACUGAAGGAGCAAUCUGACAGUAGAGUGGCGCAAGGGUGCGUAACGCGUAAGUAACUUGCCCAAGGUAAGGAAUAACGUCGAGAAAUCGGCGCUAAUACCUCAUAAUGCAGCGGAUCGCAUGGAUAAUGUUGUUAAAGGUUUACCGCCUUGGGAUAGGCUUGCGUCUGAUUAGCUAGUUGGUGUGGUAACGGCACACCAAGGCUACGAUCAGUAACUGGUCUGAGAGGAUGAUCAGUCACACUGGAACUGAGACACGGUCCAGACUCCUACGGGAGGCAGCAGUGAGGAAUAUUAGGGCAAUGCUCGAAAGAGUGACCCAGCAACGCCGCGUGGAGGAUGAAGGUAUUCUAUAUCGUAAACUCCU